UAGCAAAGAUACAUGAAUUUUAGUUUUUGUUUUGUAAAUUUGUUUUUUGUGUGGAUUAAACUGGAAUCCACACAAAAAACAAAUUUACAAAAUAAAAACUAAAAUUCAUGUAUCUUUGCUA
rnacentral:miRNA from 1 species